rnacentral:ribozyme from 12 species
AAGAGAAAGAGAAAAAGGGCCACGGCGUUUGCACACUGAAGCAGUUCUUGUUGGUUUCUUCUAUAAAGCUUCUUGUUCUUUUUUCUCCCUCUCUUUUUUCUCUCUCCUCCCCACUAUUGUA